rnacentral:rRNA from 1 species
ACGCUCGACACCUACGGAGGCAGCAGUGGGGAAUAUUGCACAAUGGGGGAAACCCUGAUGCAGCGACGCCGCGUGGAGGAAGAAGGUCUUCGGAUUGUAAACUCCUGUUGUUGGGGAAAAAGAGGAUGGUACCCAACAAGGAAGUGACGGCUAACUACGUGACAGCAGCCGCGGUAAUCUGAGCGGGCUGGCAAGGC